rnacentral:rRNA from 1 species
UGGGGAAUAUUGGACAAUGGAGGAAACUCUGAUCCAGCAAUUCUGUGUGUGGGAAGAAGGCUUUAGGACUGUAAAACACUUUUAGUAGGGAAGAAAAAAAUGACGGUACCUACAGAAGAAGCAACGGCUAAAUACGUGCCAGCAGCCGCGGUAAUACGUAUGUUGCGAGCGUUAUCCGGAAUUAUUGGGCUUAAAGGGCAUCUAGGCGGUACGACAAGUUGAAGGUGAAAACCUGUGGCUCAACCAUAGGCUUGCCUACAAAACUGUUGAACUAGAGUACUGGAAAAGUUGGUGGAACUACACGAGUCGAGGUUAAAUUCGUAGAUAUGUGUAGGAAUGCCGAUGAUGAAGAUAACUCACUGGACAGAAACUGACGCUUAAGUGCGUAAGCUAGGGGAGCAAACAGG